rnacentral:rRNA from 2 species
GUGCCAAGCAGCCGCGGUAAUUCCAGCUCCAAUAGCGUAUAUUAAAGUUGUUGCCGUUAAAAAGCUCGUAGUCGAACUUCGGCGCCUGAUGGCCGGUCCGCCUUCUUGGUGUGUACUUGCUCAUCGGGCGCUUACCUCCUGGUGAACUCUGAUGUCCUUUACUGGGUGUCAGAGCAAACCAGGACGUUUACUUUGAAAAAAUUAGAGUGUUCAAAGCAGGCCUACGCCCGAAUACAUUAGCAUGGAAUAAUAGAAUAGGACGCGCGUUCCCAUUUUGUUGGUUUCUGAGAUCGCCGUAAUGAUUAAUAGGGAUAGUUGGGGGCAUUUGUAUUCCGUCGUCAGAGGUGAAAUUCUUGGAUUGCCGGAAGACAAACUACUGCGAAAGCAUUUGCCAAGGAUGUUUUCAUUGAUCAAGAACGAAGGAAGGGGGAUCGAAAACGAUCAGAUACCGUUGUAGUCUCUUCUGUAAACUAUGCCAAUUGGGGAUUAGCACAGGAUUUUCAAUGACUGUGUUAGCACCCGAAGAGAAAUCUUUAAAUGAGGUUCGGGGGGGAGUAUGGUCGCAAGGCUGAAACUUAAAGGAAUUGACGGAAGGGCACCACCAGGUGUGGAGCCUGCGGCUUAAUUUGACUCAACACGGGGAAACUCACCAGGUCCAGACACAAUAAGGAUUGACAGAUUGAUAGCUCUUUCUUGAUCUUGUGGUUGGUGGUGCAUGGCCGUUCUUAGUUGGUGGAGUGAUUUGUCUGGUUAAUUCCGAUAACGAACGAGACCUUAACCUGCUAAAUAGACCAGUCGACUUUGGUUGACUGCUGUCUUCUUAGAGGGACUAUCAGCGUUUAGCUGAUGGAAGUUUGAGGCAAUAACAGGUCUGUGAUGCCCC